rnacentral:lncRNA from 1 species
AUCAGUGAGUUGACUGAAAAAUUAAUUUUCUUCUACAGCAAUUGUGCCCAGACAAGCGCAUUACUACUUGCUUACUGAAUAACAAAAUAUAAAUCAUUACUCACCCAUUUAUCCAAAUACUUUCAUCACCCCGUCUUAUUUCCAUCACCUUUAACUAACAGAAUGAUGGAUGAAAAUUCCACGUGGCACAUAAAUUAGACACACACACACAUAAAUCGGAUGGAAAUCUAGCCAAAAUCCUGCCUUCGUCUCCAAAAACCCAGUGGAACGUGAGCCUAAAUUUUCAAUGUCGUGAGCCGAAAGAUCUACUUCCGCCUAAAGCCAAACAUAUUCUUGACUAACAGCCCCAGUGUUACCAUCAUCCACCGUCACCAUCGUCGAAUCGCGGGAACAUCCAAAAUUUCACUGCACCCAACUCGACAUCCGCAUCUCUGUCUUCAUAUCCCAGUGGCAAGAAGCAUUUCCAAACAAGGUUCACAUAAGACCAAAAUCGUUCCCAAAUCUUUGAAGAACCCUAAAAAUCGCCAGCCAAUUCGCUCCCAAAUCCACUAUGUUAAUUAAUGGGCAUGCACAUCACGGACUAGACUCUGCUGCACCAAUUAAGUCGACCAUGUAUUCAGAGUUUGAGAAGUGGAGGGACAAGAUGAAGGUCCGAGAAAGUGGAGAGUUGCUUUUAGACCAUUUAACAUGAUUUCACAUGUGUGAUAUACAACGUGGCACUUUUGGCUAGUUUAAAGUGAUGAAUAAUGAGCAGGUAAGUAAUUAGAUAGAUAGAUGAGUAAUGAGUUCUAUUUUAUUGUUCGAUAAACAAGUAGUAACGUAAAUUAAAGUUGGGUAAGCAUUAAUUGAAUUUACUCUAGGAAGGGUGAGCUGGAUUUUGAGGGAAAGGGGGGGUUUUGUGAAUUAAAUAAAGGGAUGGAGUGGGGUGGGUUCUAUGUUGGGGGAAAGACAAUUCAACCCAAUCAAUUAGAAAGUGUGCCAUCUCUAAAGUCACAAGGCAAACUUUUCUCUCGUCCAUUGAAAGUAAGGAUGGCAACAGAACAGGUCGUGGGUAGAUCAGCCAUUCAUGUCUCCCAUCUUGUCAAAUGUUUUUAUUACCUUGCCUCCAUCCCAUAUCCUAUUAGAGCAAGAUGAAGCAGAACCCUGCUCUGUUACCAUCAUGUUUAUUUAUUUUUAUUUGUUUUAUUUAUUUAUUUUUUUGUUUCUUUUAUGUCCUUAGUUUGUGAAAGUAUUCCUUUUUUUUUUUUUUCCAAUCUUUUAUGAACAACCUAUGUUACCUUUAGAAAAGAUGAUAAUUCUUUUCCUUUUUUUUUUAAAUAAAAAACUUAAAUUUAAAAUAAAUUUUAAAUGGGAUGGGUAGCGAAGCAAGGACCAUAUUUUUUGUACCCGUCCAAUACCUGCUUCAGAAAACAACCAUGUCUCACCUUGCCCCCGUCUCUGUCCAUUUACUUGAUUAGGCGGGUAAUCCCUAUCCUGUUUGGUUGCGGGUGUCAGAUUUAACGAGUUUUUUUAGCCAUUCCUAAUAUAAAUGAUAUGUCAAAUUCAAUAAUACAUUCCAGAAUAAAUCAAAGAUACCUAGAAUAUAUUCUAAGAUAAUUGAAGCAACUAUGACACAUUAUUAUGGCUUACAUAACAUUUACAGGAAUUUAAAAUAAAAUGAUGUGGGAGAGGAACAAAAUACAUAAAUAAAUGGAAAAGGAAAAUGACCUAAUAAAAUCAUGAAUUUCUAAUUUCAUUUACGAUUUCUCCCAAAAUAUAGAUAGAGAAACCCCGCCACUCAACUUUCUCCAUCUCCGGCCAACAUUCGGCUAAUUGACCAGCGCGCACCUCUAGCCACAGUGUAAAUACGAAAGCCCACCGAAACCUGAUGUCAAACUCAUAUUUGAAGACAACUACGCCAAACCCAGAUGACAUCUCUUUAGCUUUUGGAGACUUGAAGAAAAUAUGGACUCCUAGAGCAACGCCAGUAGCACCAAGAACAUUCAAAUUUAAGCCUUGCUUUGUUGGUUAAAGGGUGUUAAAUUAUAGGCAGGCUUUGAAGGAUGCUAAAUUAUAUGUAGCGACAUAUGGCUGUUCUUUAUGUAAUUUUGUAUCGAGGUACAGGAAAAUUCAGCACUGAUAUGGACCUUGUAUUCAUGCUUUUAUUAUUAUAAAUUGUAAUUAUACCUUGAGUGAUGUCCAAAUGCUAUAUUUCCCUGAUUGGUGUUUGAUCAAGACAGAAUCUUG